rnacentral:rRNA from 1 species
UACGGGGGGAGCAAGCGUUGUUCGGAUUUACUGGGCGUAAAGGGCGCGUAGGCGGCCACCGCAAGUCGACUGUGAAAUCUCCGGGCUUAACCCGGAAAGGUCAGCCGAUACUGCGGGGCUAGAGUGCAGAAGGGGCAACUGGAAUUCUCGGUGUAGCAGUGAAAUGCGUAGAUAUCAAGAGGAACACCAGUGGCGAAGGCGAGUCCCUGGACAACACCUGACACUGAGGCACGAAAGCUAGGGGAGCAAACAGG